UGGCCCACCACACCAUCCUUUCUCACCACUUCCCCAAACAUAUCCAGAGGUCCUUCCCAUCUAAGGGUUUCUGACUGAAAAUUGGCCAGCAAAGACAGGACAGAACAAAGUAGCCAACAUGAGCAGCAUCCCAAGUCUUGGGACCUCGGGUGUCCUGCUCCUGGUGGACAGCUCCUCCCACCUUCUCUGAGACAUCUCUUGGAGCCCCAUAGACCUCUCCAUGAUCCAGUUUGAGUGAAAGGUUCUCGGAUCCUUUCCCUAUUCUUACCCCAAACCUCUUUCUCAGGCCAUACUGAUGGCCUCUGGCCUGCAGGGCCAAUUUUCUGGUGCCCAGGACCAUGUGCAAACAACUAUUGUUUACCAACUGUCCACUGUCACUCAGAAGGGCAUCUUCCAUGGCCUGGACUCAGGACCUCUCCCAGCUUGUCCUCCUUGGGUUCCUGGAAAGGAAUUAACCGCACCCCAUCCGGUUCCCCACUCACUGGUUCCCCAGCCCAAGCACGUAGGCCCCAGCUGGUUACCCCAAGUGAACAGCUUCUCCACCGUCUCACACAGCCUGAACACCUCCAAGAGAAGGGGGCGACCUGCAUAACUAGUGGGUGGUGGUAGCAGAACUUCCCACAGCGAAUACAGCAGGGGUGUCAGACAGGGAUUCUGGGGACAAUUAACAGGGGCCAAUGUCACCCCCUGAAACAGAAAGAGAAUUUCUUAGAAGACUAUCAGUGUUCACAAAGGACGGAGACCAGGCACUCAGAGGGCCCAGGCCAGGAGCCUAACUAGAGCCACACUGUAGAACUGGAUGGCCACUGCUGCUGUGGUCACGGUCAGGCCUGGAUGUACCAGGGGCUGCUAGCAGAAGAAUCCCAUCUCUUGCAAGGGAUUCUGUAGUGGGAGCAAGGGCCAGGAAUUGGCACUCUGCCUAAAACUCAUGGGAAUUUCCCCAGAAGGGAGAGUAUGGGGCCAAGAGGGAAGGAGUAGGGUCUGGACUUUAGAUUACAAAAACAAAACAAAAAAAAACAGCUGUCUCUGACCACAGGGUUGGGCUGAACUGAAUUUCAAGAGGACCUUGAACUAGGACAGGGUUGGUGCCACCCCUACUACAUAAAUAUCCACUAACAAACCUUGAAUCAUGCCAUUUAAAAUAUUUAUUUAACCAGGCCAGGUGCGGUGGCUCAUGCCUGUAAUCCCAGUACUUUGAGGGGCCGAGGCAGGCAGAUCGCUUGAGCCCAGGAGUUCAAGACCAGCCUGGACGAUGUGGAGAGAUCCCAUCUCUAAAAAAUAUACAAAAAAAAAAAAAAA
rnacentral:lncRNA from 1 species